rnacentral:rRNA from 1 species
GACGAACGCUGGCGGCGUGCUUAACACAUGCAAGUCGAACGAAGUGGCGAACGGGUGAGUAACGCGUAAUCAACUUGCCCUUCAGAGGGGGACAACAGUUGGAAACUACUGCUAAUACCCCAUACUGAAGGAGGGGCUUGCGUCCGAUUAGCUAGUUGGAGGGGAACCGGCCAACUAGGGCGAUGAUCAGUAGGAGGUCUGAGAGGAUGGACGGCUACAUGGGGAGUGAGACCCGGCCCGGACUCCUACGGGAGGGAGCCGUGGGGAAUCUUCCGGAAUGGACGAAAGUUUGACGGAGCAACACCGCGUGAGUUAUGACGGCGUUCGGGUUGUAGAGAUCUGUUGAUCAGGGCGGGGACCCGCACUAGAAAGCCACGGCUGACUACGUGCCAGCAGCCGCGGUAAUAC